AGAGAAUUCCUUCAAGAAUCCACACAGUAUUCUUCUCCGGCUCAAAUCCUGAAUUUUGAAGCUUUUCCAGCCAAUCAUGCCCUGUGAUGUCAGCUUCCACUCUGGUAAGAUGUAGCUUCAUUGUGGGGAAAUCAUACUACUGCAUUGAAGGACCAAUCUUCCUAUGAUUUGCAUUUAUCAGCUCCCAAACAACGAAGCCUUAAGUGAUGUUUUCUCUGACAGGUUGAUUGUGAUAGGUAUAGUAUUGGAGGAUAUUAACUAUCUGACUCGUCAAACAAUGCUCAUUUGGUUCAAAGAGGGUUAAGUGGUUAUAAAAUGCUAUCAUUUGGUGUGUAAUAUCCUUAUCAUUGGGUCUUUACGUCUUUGUCUUCUAUGAAUUUCGAGAAUAACUUUAUCUGAUUUUUUUGAUAAUUUGAUUGCCAAUGGAGUAAUUGUUUCA